AAUGGAUAAAUUAGGUUACUUCAUAGCAGGUGAGCUUACAUAGAUGAUUUAAACUAUAAAUAUAACAAAAUUUAAUUACCCCCAUAUGUACGAGUACAUGUAUAUGUAUAUGUAUAUGUAUGUAUUCUUUAUAAAAUUAAGCCAAGGGGUAUUCUUCAGAUAAAGCUAAUUCAAUGAAAGCAAGGGACUACCGAAAACAAAAAAUUAUAAAAGCAAAGGUAGCAGCAUUUGGUGGUUCUUUAACAUCAGACGAUAACUAUAAAAAUUAUAAAAAGGGUGAAGUAGUGUAUGCAACUCAAAUAAACAAAUAAAUGAUCAGGCAAAAAAAAAAAAAAAAAAAAAAAAGGAACGUAUCGUACUUGUAUACACAUUUAUGCAUUUGUUUACAUAAAUUAAUAUUUAUACGUAUAUAUUUUUACUCAUUUAACCAUAUUGUAAGCUAAUUUUUUUCUUUUAUUCUCUGUUUUCACUUUGAAAAUGCAAUUAUUAUUAAAAAAAAAAAAAAAAUGAAUUGAAUAAAACAUUGUAUUUAAGCUAACCUCA
rnacentral:lncRNA from 1 species